UCAAACUUGGUCAUUUAGAGGAAGUAAAAGUCGUAACAAGGUUUCCGUAGGUGAACCUGCGGAAGGAUCAUUAACACGUAUCCACGUAUCAACACUCUGUGAACUUAAUCUCCCUACUUUGAUUAGCUGUUAAUAUGGUUAGUGGUGGGUGUGCAGCCUAAAAAACUGUACGCAACUGUAUUAACUAGGGUUUCGAGCCCAGUGCUGUCAUUGUUAGGCAAUAACCUUCCAUCACUGUCAAACAAACCAUUUUCACUUAAUACUCAUCUUGACUGAUGUACUUAUGUAAGAGAAAUCUGGCAUAAGCAAGUUAUUCAAACUAAGCACAACUCUUAGCAAUGGAUAUCUUGGUUCUCGCAUCGAUGAAGAACGCAGC
rnacentral:misc_RNA from 1 species